rnacentral:rRNA from 1 species
UACGGGGGGUGCGAGCGUUGUCCGGAUUCACUGGGUUUAAAGGGUGCGUAGGUGGGUUGGUAAGUCAGUGGUGAAAUCUCCGAGCUUAACUUGGAAACUGCCAUUGAUACUAUCUGUCUUGAAUAUCGUGGAGGUAAGCGGAAUAUGUCAUGUAGCGGUGAAAUGCUUAGAUAUGAACAUAGAACACCAAUUGCGAAGGCAGCUUACUAACCCGAAUAUUGACAUCUGGAAGGCACGAAAGCGUGGGGAUCAAACAGG